AUAUCACUCAUUUGCCUGAGGAAAAUUCACAUCUUAAUUACUUUGAGGAAAUCUCCAAGUGCACUGACAUUAUCAAUAGGUCAGUACAGGUCAUUCCUUGCUACCUGUAGAAAUGGACGCCCACCAUACCUGAUGCCAAUGAAACACAACUGUGGCACUCAAUGCUAGAGACCUGUGAUGCUUUUGUGAAUAGAGAGGCAGAUGGAUCCCUCUGUUUAUGCUACAAUAAAUCUGCUUGUAUACAAAAGUAUACAGAGGGUAGUGAGGCACCUCUAUCAUUUCACAUACAUUCAGUCCCAUCCUCAGAAAGCA
rnacentral:lncRNA from 1 species